AUGUUGCUCAAAUCAGAAAAACGGCCAGAAGAUGUCACACCAUACCGACCGGUUACACUCCUUUCAAGUUCAUCUAAAAUCUUAGAGAAAUUUCUACUUAAACGUCUAAAACCAAUCAUAGAAAAAAAAAACAUCUUAUACCGUACUGUCAGUUUGGAUUCCACAACAAACAUUCGCAGUAGCGGAUUUUCAACAUUUUGCUG